rnacentral:lncRNA from 1 species
UAAUAGGACAAAUAUACACUCACGCGUUAUUGCGUGUACGGUUCAUGGAGAAACUUUUCCCGCCAUUACGCGGACUGUCACUGCUUGACACUUGACGCAGCGAACCCCUCUAAUAUUUAUGUUCACAUCUUUUAUUAAACUAAAUAUAUUUAUACAUUUACUGAGUGGUGUAAACAAAAAUAACCCUUAAAUACUUAAUUCGAUGAUUAUACAUUUACUAUUUAAUAAUUGACAAUGACUGAAUCCUUCAUUUGUAAACGUGCCCUUAGGAAUGUUUGCUUUCUGCUUUUUUAAACAGAGCGCCAUCUCUACAAUGUUCGUGUUCCAUGCUAUUGUAGAGGCGACACUCGACCACGUUUUUCUCAAUAUAUGAUUUUAUCUUAUAAUUUCAAACAUUAAGUGUAUGUUUAAUAUCCUAAUAAUAUAAAAAUAGUACAUAUAGAAAAAGCAACAUAAGAUUUUGAUGAAACGUCUUUUCUGAAAAAGUUUUUCGAGGAAGAUAUUUAAUAAACAAAGAAGAAAAUUGCAUCGCUGAAAGUUCGUGUUCGGUCAUGAGUUAUGCUAUCCAAGGACAUCUGUGUAAGAUACCUCGAGAAAUGAAUUUUAACGAAAGACAGUAAUCUCACGUUACAGAUAACGCGUGCACAACACGGAAUGCGUGAUCACGCUUUCUCCGUGAAUCAGCCACUUGAACACACGAAACGAGAAAUGCAAAAUGUCAACAGAAACGUAAACGCGAAGAUGUCGCGCGAAAAUUCAUCGGAAAUUGUUAAAUAUACCGGCUGGUAUAAAUAGCGGUUGAAAUUUUUUCGCUUUGAUCUGAUCACCGACAAAUAAAUCCGUUCUGACGCAAAACUUGCCGGUUAAUAUUCGAAAUGAAGUACGGAGAUGCAGUAAGAAAGUCACAAAAAUUUCCAUUUCCCUAAUAUGGACAUUAAAAACUAAUUAAGUUAACCUUGCCAUUAGAAGUUAAUUACAUACUUAGGCAAGAACGGAAUUGUGAUAGGAAGUGGACAAUAUUGAUGAGCUCCUCAAAUAAUUAUUUACUUGUUCAAUUAUCAUUUUUAAUUAACCUCUACUAAGAAACAGGUAAUAAUGCAAACAGGAAUAAUUAAUUAUUGUUAUUCUGCUUGUUAAACGAAAAGCAAUUUUCGACACAAAACGUUCAGCCACUUGGUUGGAAUUAUCAGCUAUAACCUUUAAGAAUUGUAAUUUAUGACUUGUAAACGUUUCGUUAGAGAUAAGAGAGUACAUUGUGGCUAUUCUUACAUUUGUGUAAACCUGUUCCAAAAAACUGACUAAUUAACUGUGAAUACAUUUAAUUGCAAUUUAUAAUUAUAUUUGGGCGCAGUGUUUCAAUAUUGUAAAUUAUAAACAAUUUAGUUUAACAAAAACUAAAUUGUUAGUUUACAACUAAUUAGUGUUGCUGUUACUACUUAUCAUUAAUUACUGAUGAGUAAGUAACAAUGAUAAAAUUAGAAACAAAAAGUUUGUACCAAUAAAUUAGUAAUUAACAAUAAUUUUCUAAUUAGUAUUAUUGCUAAUAUUGUUACUGCUAGUACCAUUAAUGACUAGUGACACUAAUUAGUGAAUUACUGUAAACAAACUGCUAAUCCGUUUUCAAUUACUGUCAAUAACUGAUAACAUGAUAACAUUAAUUACUAGUGAAUUAUCAUUCGUCCCGUAUUCGUUAUAAGCACUUAAUUCAUUACCAUUAAUUCUUAAUCAGUUUCUGAAAUUUGUCUAACUUAGCAGAUUAUGGAAAUGCAAACUUUUUUACAGUCUGUACAAAUGGCAAAAAAUAUAUGCAAGUUUUGCAUAAAAGAUCAUUCGAUAAACUGUCACAUGAUCUUACGUCUUGAAAAUUGAUCGUACAAACUGAAUUUCCGAAAGAAUAUUAGAAUUAAAAAAUACCGUAUUCAUGGAAGAUUUAAAAUUCAGAUAGGGAAGAAUAGGGUAUGUUUUCCUCAACGCAUAACAAUUAAACCGCAGAUGCGCGCACGUUGCGUGCGCAUCUCGAAGGAAUACCGUGAAAACUGUAUGGCGCUGAAACGUCCUUGCAAUAUCGUGCCGAUAGUAUAAAUAGCUUCGUCUCUGCUGACGAGAAUGAGCGGAAAAAAAGAGAGAGAAGUAGAAAUAAAAAAAACGUCACACGGACGUCGAAAAACAGGCUACAGAAUCGUACAUGGAAUAACGUGUACCAAUUACCGAUGGCUGCAAUGUGUUACGUAAUCAGCCACGAUCCACGGGUAAAGGAACGCACCUGUGCAGCCUGUGUUCGAUUCACAUGCUUCUGCAAAGAGCCAUUAUUCUCCGACGAGGUCAAUUUUCUAGAAAUCUUUAACGUUUAACGGACAUUUACGUUUCUCCAUUCCCACUUCCUAACAUGGCCCAGGCAAAAAUGGCGGACACGAGUGUACGAGAUAGAUUCUGCCAGGUUCACAAGGAUGAAUAUUUUACAAUAGACAGACGAACGAGAAUUAUUUAUUUAACGAAAUUAUGCGAUUUGUUUGCAUAAAUUGACGUGUGUAGGAGAACAUGCUGUAUUUAUCAAAAGAAUAGGUUGUUGAGUUAUGACCCAGAAAACGUCUGUUUACAAACGAGACCCAUACGUAUCAUAAAUUUUAGAUAAAUACUCGAUCGUUGCUUAACGUUUCUCACAGCGUCUCUUGACACGCUGUGCGUAGAUUUGAUGGAUAGUGACGCGUACUGAAAUGCUGUCAAUUUUAGAUAACUUAUUAGACAGCGACAUGGAAAGUAGUUUACUUCUAGUAAUUAAAUCAUGGGAUCAAUCAGUUGACCAGAUAAGUUAUCUUGGAUAUCAAAAAGAAGUUACGCCACGUUAUAGCUGUGACCAGAAUUUGUAUUUACGAGACUGAGAUGGGCUUAGAGCGAUUAAGUUAAUCGUGAAGUAGAAAGAAAAUCGGGCAGGAAGCCAUGAAAGCGUCGGAAGCUAAAGGGUUAAUAUAAUUGUUCACUGCACCGAAUGCGUGCAUAGCAAUCGAGGCAAGUACAGUGCGCGUGACAAGAGCCUUAUGAAUCAUGCUGCCUUCCGACCUCUCUCCAAAGGUUAAUCAGCGUCGAGAAAACGUCUCCAAGUUUCACUUAACGCGUCUUGGAAGCAGAAAUUUCCCCACACUAUUCAGCAAAGUAGUCUAUUACGUCGGAGAACGUUAGCCUCAGAUAGAACAUUGAAACGAUUUGUCAUGGGAUCGAUAAACGUAUCGGACGCGAAAAAGUAUUUAGUUCAACGAGUGAUUACUACGGAGACUAUUCAUAGCCGAGAGGGAUAACAACGAAGCAGUAAGAACGCAAGUCGAUUGAGAGCUCUCGUUUUAGUAGUAGAGAAACUUACUGGACGCACAGAUGAGCUCUAGGGAGAUUAUUAAAAAAUCAGAAUCUAGAAACCUAAGGUCCCAGGUAAUCACUGAAGUCAACUAAGGAAUCAAUGAAGUCCUAGAGUUAUUCUGGAAAAACCUAAGAUUAUCCUAGGGAGAUUUGAAAAAUUCCAAGAGAAGAUUAGAAAAAUUUUCAGAAAAGGAGGAAACAAACUUCAGGAAAUGUUUAAGGAAAAGUUAUGGUUCUUGGAAAAGCUUGAGGAAAUAACCUAGUGAAUCUAGGGAGUUGAGUAAGUGACAGGGAACUGUGAGAGUAUCGAUUCUCACGCGAGAAAAUCGAGUUCCUCGUUCUUCUGAUCGCCGCUUACCAGGUCAUCCUCAAACUCGUCGUCAUCCGUGUCCGAGUCCGAGCAACCUCUCAGCUUUCGAACUUUCUUUUUCACCUCUUUCUUCACCACCCUCGUUAUCGCGUUUUCCGGCUGCGUGCAAUCGUUUCAUGAUUAAAGAAAAAGUCGCCGUGAAACGCUAACGACCUGGACCCAACCGGACACUAGCUUGCUACUAGGAUCUAGCGGUUCAAGAAAUCAGCGACACAUUCGUUUUUAAUUUGUUAACCGGGUAGACAACUAUUUGUCCCAGUUUUAGUUUAGAUACAUUAUGCAUUAACUUUACUGCCAAUGAAAUAUUUUUAGUAUUAGAUUCGACCACUGUUCAUUUUAUGACAAUUGCAAUAAUUCACUUAAAGAAUGUUUUUAUUUAAAAUACAACUUUUUGUCAUAUCAUAAUGCAUCAUAACUAGGUGGUCGAAAAUGCUGUAUCACUUAAUUUUCUUACUAUGUUUCGUAACGCAUAACGUACACGUAACAAAAAGAUGCAACUUUAAUUGCAAGAAAAGAUCUUAGAUUGUUGAGAUUUUAGGUAACGCUGCUUUUUAUAACAAUCAAAAAUGUUACGCGCGAAAAGUGACCUUGAAUCUGUGCAACACGUGAUGCUGCAUUUGCCGCCAUCUUUGAACACUAAAAGAACACCUUAUCUAUUUUAAUAAAAAUAAUUUUUUAAAUUAAAAGAAAAGAUUGAAUAUCAGCGUCAAAUUAUUUGCAAUAUU